GAACAUGUAUUUCUUCUUUCAUCUUCAUUACAUCUGAGGAAGUGGAGCGUAACAGCAGACAAGAACAGAAGAAAAAGAAGCCUUUCAGGUGGACGACUUUAGAAAAGGACAAUGAGAACAUUGCAAUCUGGACAAAGAAAAACGAAUCCUAUCACAAGGCCAGUUGUAGCCACCAGAGGAAGGGGUGUGAAAGAACAGGGAAGUGGAAGAGGAAAGGACGGAAGAAAGGAAGAAGGGGAAAAUAUAAAAGAAGAGAAAGAAGUGACCCGUCAAGCCCACUCCAUUCAUCAUCUUGGGGAAAAAUAGCUGCUUUAGUUUUUUUCUGCUGACCAGCUAAAACAUCCCAUGGCAGACCAAACCACCUGGACAAUGUUAUAUUGUUAAAAUAGCUGCACUUCAGGGAUGUAGUCACAAGAAGCUGCAGGCCAGCACAGGAGUAGAAAAAAGAUAUUCCAGAGGAAAAGACUAUACAACUGGAGUUACAUGACAGAUCUGAAUUAAAAGGUUUUCACUUCACAUAUAUGUUCGUAAAUCUUACGUAUAGAAGACAUCACUUCCUCUCUUUGCUUCACUUUCUCAUUUUGGUUUGCUGAUUGCAUUACCCUCUAAGCAUUAUUGUUUGGAAAUGGAUAGAAACUUUUGUUUUCAGCUACUACAGUUUGUUUGGUUCACACCACAGUUUAGAUGAACUUCCAAACCUGCACAAAUUAAGCAGACUGUCCAUUGUGAAAGCCUCAUGGAUGAGCUUCUGCACAGUGUUUCAGCUAGUUGCCAUAUUGCCAAUGUGAUGCAAUAUACUGUAUUUUUAAGUUACACUUACACUUGCAGCAGUGAACUGUGUUCACUGCCUAUAGCUUUCAAAAGUUGGCUAUAGGCUAACUUUCUCAUUGAACAACUCUCAUAAAACCAGGAGGGUUUGAGGAAGAAAAUAAUACUUGU